rnacentral:miRNA from 1 species
ACAUUGAGACUCUGAGUGGUAGU